GCCGGGUGUGGUGGCUCACACCUGUAAUCCCAGCACUUUGGGAGGUAGAGGCAGGCGAAUCGUUUGAACCCAGGAGGCGGUGGUUGCAGUGAGCAGAGAUCAGGCCAUUGCACUCCAUUGUGCAAUGGCACAAUCUUGGCUCACUGCGACCUCCGCCUCCCGGGUUCAAACGAUUCGCCUGCCUCUA
rnacentral:SRP_RNA from 1 species